GCCUUCGUGGUGUAAUGGUCAGCUUACUGAGCCGGUAUUUCAGAGGUCCGUGGUUCGAUUCCCGGCGAAGGCC
rfam:Stegodyphus mimosarum contig125486, whole genome shotgun sequence.